rnacentral:siRNA from 1 species
UAAGAUGCCAAAACAGAUCUC